GCCAGGUGUGGUGGCAUGUGCCUGUAGUCCCAGCUACUUGGGAGGCUGAGGUGGGAGGAUAGCUUGAGCCCAGGAGGCUGAGGUUGCAGUGAGCCAAGAUUGCACCACUGCACUCCAGCCUGGGCGACAGAGCCAGAUCCUGUCUCAA
ensembl:misc_RNA Metazoa_SRP Metazoan signal recognition particle RNA